GUGUUUUGUUUCUUCUAGACUAUCAGGAAACAGAUCUCUACUGAAAGCUUCCCCCCUCCACUCCCCACGAAAGUACCCAAAAGAGAUAAAAAUAAAUCCCCCCAAAAAGAAAUAAUCAUCCGUAUUUUCAAGGCAUUUUUUUAUAACAAUGAAUAUGUAUUGUUUAGCCGUCAGAUACAAAGCCCGCUUUGUCGGUAACUGAAAGCAGAAGACUAUCAGCCCGAUGGCAGCAAAGCAGCAUCUCGGAGCACAGUCUCCGAUUCCGUUUCUCAGGUUCCCAUUUCGGCUGGCACUCUGAGGACGCCAGCACCACUGCUGUGUCUUCCAAACAGUUAUUGGAAUGGUUCCGCUACGGAUGGACAGGCACAGACAUGUGGUAGCCGUCGCUCCACACGGAGGCACAUUCACAGCAACAAGAAUGCAGCGGACUGAGAUUAAUCACACCUCACGGCAUGCUACACCAGACCGCUGGCAAAACCAAAGGCAACAAGGGAUUGGCGACUGGCUCUGAGCACAUGAACACCUACCUCCUGCCACCUUCCGUAUUCUUCCAGCCUUGUUAUGUGUCCGAAAUGGACAGGCAGCAGCUCGGUGCCCUAGGUCUGAAGACCUGGGAAGGCCACAGGUGAAGUCCUCCAUUCUUCUUAAUUUGCCCUGAAAAAGAGAGGCACACAGCAGUUCAGGCCAAGAAACGGCCUGAAACAAGGGCAGGUUUUCAUUCUCUCUGCAAUUUCUCUUCUUCCAAGCAAUUUAUUCCCCCCUUUUUAUGGUGUUUCAUGAAGAAUCUGUAAAUUCCUGGGUGUUGCCCAUCCCCCUAAACCAGUUCAGUAAGAUCUAGAUCAGCAGUUGUCAACUUCUGGGUGGAGACCCCUUUGGUAACCUCUACCUCCAAAAAUAUUCAUAUUACUCUUCAUAAUAGUAGCAAAAUCACACUUAGGAAGUAGCAAUGAUUCCAAUUUUAUGGUUAGGGGUCAGUACAACUUAGGAAAUUCUAUUAAAUGGUCGCAGCAUUAGGAAGGUUCUAGAUGAAAUAGCACUUUUUCUUUGCCUCCCUUCCUUAACCUCUUAUUUGACCCCCUAUUUCUUUGAAGCUAUGUAAAUCCGACUGCUGUCUGUUACCCUAACUAAUUAAGUUUAUCUCUGGGCUGCACAGAAAGACCAGCUUACACUCGCCUUUUACUCUGUACUCCUGCCAUUCCUUUUGAAUGUGUGAUGAGGAAACAUGUCUGUUUUGAUGAAAUUGCUGGGCUGGGCUAAGUUGCUUGAACAGGCUAGAAGGCUAAUGUCAUUGGACAAUGUACAUGCUUUUGGGUUAUGUUUCCUUCAACAGCAUAGCUUUCAUUGAGCCAUACCAUGGUGUCCCAGUUAGGCAGACGAAGACUCCAAAGAAGUAAUGGCUUACAGAUUCUAGAGCAUUCAGCUUCUAGAAUAUAUCACUUGUGUGUAUGUGUGUGUGUAUGUGUGGGUGUGUGUAUGCAUACAUGUGUAGAGGUUAGAGGUCAAUCUUGGAUGCCCUCUCGUCACUCUCCCACCCCUUGAUCUUGGGAGACAAGGUCUCGCUUUCACCUGCAGCUUGCUCCCUGUGCUCAUCUUUUUAAAGUCGACUCUGGGGAUUGAACUCAGGUCUUCAUACUUGCUUGCCAAACACCAACUAAGCCACCUCCCUGACCUGACCUCUCACUUUUGAGCUGAGUCUUGAGCUGGUUUUGGACAGGUUCAUUUUUCCUGUAGCUUUCUUUUUUUUUUUCCGGAGCUGGGGACCGAACCCAGGGCCUUGUGUUUGCUAGGCAAGCGCUCUACCACUGAGCUAAAUCCCCAACCCCUAUAUUUAAUCCUCCUGUAGCUUUCUAUAUGAACCUACAGACUAUUUUUGAGCAUUCAUUCAUUCAUUCAUUCAUUGGCAUUUUCAGAGCUCAUCUUAGCUUAAUGCCUGAGAUCUCACAGGAACGAGGGCAGACUUCCAGUUAGAAACCUUCACAGGAUGAACAGGUAGAAGUCUGCCAUUCCGCCCUUCAAUUACACUAAACUAUUUUGAAUACUGUUGAGUUUGGAAGCCUGAAAUAAAAUUUACUUUAAAAGUCAAAUCGAAAUGUAUUUACGAUGAAUUUUACACUCACAGCUUGAUGAAGUUACUCUUGUGGUCACGUCAAUGAGUUUAGCGAGUAUGGUGUUCAACUUAUAUAAUCAGAAAUUCCCAGGAAGUUGUUGGACACUGGGUCUCAGGCAAACACAGCUGUCGUUUGGGGGAAACACGAUGAUCGGGGAGAGGAGCUGGAGGAGGGAGAGCCAGCCAAAACUAGCGCUGUGGGAAAAGCCUCAAGGAAAUCUGAUAUCUGGUAAACAAAUUGAAAGAUAAACUUUUCAAAAUUAAAAAAAUAAUAAGAUAAUACCAUAAGUUGAGAACUCAGCUCCCUAUGAGAUGUACCCAGCUCAUGAAUAUGCAUGUCUACCUUUAUUGCAACACGAAAAACAGCAAAGGACAAACGCUGGGGUAUUUCCUUCCUCUUGGUUCAGGUUCCUAGGUCCAAGGUCCCAUGCAAUUACAGACACUUUGAAGAAGGAAAGUUCGCUUUACUUCCUGAGUUUGAGAUGAAGUCAGGAUAACCUCUGGGAAGUGAUGUCUGAAGUCCACCCUGCAGAGGCGAAUUCCGUAGCCAUCUAUGCAGAGACUAAGAGUGGACACUGAGGGGAGCGGGUAUGUGGCUAGGAGGAGCCCCAGGGCAAGUGAGGAGCCAGUAGAAAGAAAGAAAUCCAUCAGAGGAGACUAGGAAAGAUUUAAGAAAUACUGGUAUAAAAUAAGGGACCCUGUAUCACUGAGAAAAACGAGAGGUCCUAAAUCCUGCUGAGAAGCCAGGCGAGCUACACCACAGCUGGAGUUGGAUACGGGAACGAACUGUGGUCUCAGAGACUUGGAUCUAUUGAGUGUCUCAAACAACGUGCUGGGAGGUGGGGAAGGAGGAUUCAAGUGCAGCCCCCAGAGCCAUUCUGAUGCUGAGGUAAAAGGAAGGAGACAAGUAUCAGGGACCAGAGUCUCUGGUGAGCAUAAGAUUUCAUGGUAGGUAUGUGGAUCUUCGAUUGCAAAAUCUGAAACCUCAGAGCACCAGUACGGAAGAUCCAGCAAAUGUUUUAGACUCUGAAAAAGCUCUGAAAUCUGAGCCGUGUACGAGAGGUGAUCCACCUGUGUUGGAAUCAAGGGACAGCGCUUGGUACGGUGCACCAGUCUAGAGGGAGAAACUGAGUCAAUCCCUCAAAGGAAGUGAGGGAGGGACCUGAGAGAAAGGCAGACAGUCACACUUGGAAGCGGGAGGGUUGAGGCCAAAUACAGGAAACUCAAACAAGGGGAACUUCUUCUUCAGUUUCCUCAGAGAAACCAACGUAGUGUUGUAGAGUGACAACCCUACAGCCAUCAGCAACCUUUAAGACUGAUAUACUAAAGGAAAUUGGACAGGAGCCUCAUUGUCAGAAUAAAGUUGUCAAUGUCAGAAUAGAUUAUCGUAGACGAUUGUGACAUCUCAGUGUUCUCUGAAUCCCAGGAACAGCAGACGGUGUGAUGUGGGCACGAAUUGUGAUCUGUCCCGCACAGGGUCAGAGAACCCAGGACUCCACUAACUGGUCUCCAUCACGUGGCUUCCCAGAAGCCACCAGAUAAAUCGCCCGGCUGCAAACGGAGUGCAGUAAGAUUGUUGCGUCUGGAUUAUGCCCUGAUAGUCUAACACCAUGGAAAGCAUACCUUGCCUGGCGUCAGUAUAUGCCACUCUUCCUUGAAACGCAACUGUCUGCUCCUUGGGCCAGUUUCCUGACAGGCCCCUUGUCCUUCUCUUCUAGUCGCCCCUCCUCUGUGCUCAGACAGCAGCCUCCAGCAAAGUUUUCAACUGUUAUGGCUCCUCUGUUGUCCUUCCUCCUGUGCACUCUGCUAAUGUCCUGUUCUCUUAGCUGUGAGCCCUGCUGAGCUAGGGACAUGGUUCUCUGGUGAUUCCUCAAGCCUGGCACAGGGGAGCUCUAAAUGUGUCGGGGAUGGUAAAAGAGACUCUCCUAUUCACCCCUGAGCGGCUCGGGAAGACUCUUCACCUGAAGGCAGAAGAUGGCGUCAGUGGUAGAAUGUUUGCCCAGCUCCAUGCAGCACCCUGAGAUGGAGACUAAGCAUUGAGAAAAGCCAGGGGAAAGAAACCUACAGUAAAAGACAAAGAUGGGGGCCAGGGCGAUGACUAGGAUGGGAUUUGAUCCCCAGAAAUCCAUGUGACGUAGUCAAUGGGGCGGCACAUGCUGGUAACCCCGGUGCUCCUACUGUGAGACAGGAAACGGAGACAGGAGAUUCUGCCUGAAGCUUUCCAUCCGGCUAGCCUCGAGUACAACAGAGAUGCUAUCUCAGAAACGAAGUGGAAGGACAGAGUUGACCAAGAAAGUGCUCCUCUCACUUUCCUGCGAACAACUUGUUUGGUUUUUUUUUUUUGUUUGUUUUGUUUUGUUUGGUUUGGGUUUUUUCAGUUUUUGUUUUGUUUUCGGUCUUGUUUGUUUGAUUCUUUGGCAGCUAUGACACAAAGCAGAGACAUCUGGGAAGAAAGACCGUCAGUUUUAAAAACUGCCUCCACCAGAUGAGCCUGUAAGCAAGUCUGGGGGGAUGGGUUUUUUCCACUAAUGACAGUGUAGAAAGGCCUGGCCCACUGUAGGUGGCUCAUCCACUGGGCAAGGCGGUCAUGAGUUUUGAUAAAUCUCAAGGUGGGCAAGCGUUGGCAAGCAAGCCAGUGAGCCAACUUUCUUCUCUGUGGCUUUGACCUCAGUUCUCGCCUCCUGGUUCCUGCUUGAGUUUCUGCACCGGUGUUCAUGGUUUACUGCCAUGUGUGAGAGGAGCUGGACCCUCUCCUGUGAACCCUUUCUUCCCCAAGUUGUUUUACCUCAUGCUGUUCACCUCAGUAGUAGGAAGCAAGCUAGGACAUCAUGGUACACAUGCACUAUACAUACGUGCCUGCGUGUAUGUGCAUGGACACACAGAUGAGAGUAUAUAUGCGCAUGUACACACACACACACACACACACACCACAGGUUUUGUUUUUUAAGAUAAAGAACUGAGGAUCCCUGAUGUUAUCUAACCCAGUCCCUUUAUUCUAUAGCCACAAAAGUUGAAGCCUGGAGAAGCCAACUUGAUAUGGGUUAGUUGUUUUCUACUUGCCACAGCAGGUAGGUGAUGGUGUGUUGGUUUUCAUCCUAAGGAGGUGCUGCCUUAUUUAGAAUUUUACAUAGUGCAUUGAGGUCUAAACCAGAGUGGACCGGACCACCGAGAAUUGGAGGCAAAAGAGCCAGAGCCAGAAGCCAGAAGUACCCUGAGCAAAACAACUUGGGAGAAAAAUUAUUUUGGCUUGCAGUUCCAGAAGGGAGAGAGAGUCUGUCAUUUUGAGAAAACUAUGAGACCAGGCCAAGGAAGGCACGGCAGCAGGAGCAGACUGGCUGAUCAACCCGAAUCUCACUCAGAAACAGAGAGAAACAGCAAGAGGGGCUGAGCUAUAAAACCUCAAAGCCUGCCUCCAUAAGUGUAAUUCCAGUGACCUCUACCUCCUAAAGAUUGUAUAAUGUCCCCAAAUGGGAGCACCAUCUGGGGACCACGUGUGCGUAUUCAAACCACAACAGUGUCCACGGAAAGAAAAUGACUUGCUUAGAAGAAACGCCAGAUGACAGGCAGUGUGUGGACAACUGCCUGAUCUGCUAAGGAGGCGAUGAAAGUCAGGAUAUCAGAGUUCCCACAAGCUAAGGGACCCUCUCCUGUAUUUGACAGAUGUAGACAGACACACGGAGGAUUGGAGAAGUGACUCAGCAGUUAAGAGCACUUCUGGAGGACUCAGAUUCAGUUCCCAGCCCCCAAAUUGGUCUGCCCGCAACUUUCUAGAGUCCAAUUCCACAAGACCCAAUACUGUCUUUGGCCUCUGUUAGCAUCUGUACAUAACUUGUGAGCAUGUGCACAGAGACACACAUGCUCAUGAAUAAAAAUAUGACGAGAGCACAGGGAGAUCACCCGUAAGUUUUCUGUUCUCUACGUUGUCCUUCCAAAGUGUCUCCAGUCUGCUGACUUACUGUAUACAAUUGUAUACCCCUCACUGAGGAGAUGCAUUCUGAGAAAGGUGCUGGAAGGGGACCUCUCUUGUGCCAACAUCACAGAAUAUACAGACGCAAAUCUAGACGGUAUCGUUUAUUAUACACCGAUUCUACACGGCAUGUCCUAUUGCUUCUGGAAUAUAAACAUAUGUAGUGUGACUAUGGAUCCUUUAAGCAGCUAUAACACAAUGGUGAAUAUUUGUGCACGUGAACAGAUCUAGACAUUAAAAAUAGAGUAACAGUACUGGGCAACUGGAUCGUCAGUUCUCUUAUAACCAUACAGGACCACUGUCAUAUCCGUCAGUGUCGGACAUCACUGAGACAAGAAUACUUACAUUCAGGACUGAAAUGCAGAAUUCUCUACAAGCAAGCGUUGCGGUUAGAAUGGUCAAGUUUUAUUCCAGUAGCCCUGAUUUCAGUUUCCUCUAAAAAAUAAACAGACUGUGCUGUUUGUUUUUAGACAUUAUUUUUUUUUUUUUUACAAACGUUUAAGAAACAAACGUCUCUUGGGAUGCGAACAAUCUGUACCCAUUUAUUUGAAAAGGGCUAAAAUAAAUAUUUAAUGUUGCAUCUCUAAGUAUUUGGUUAGCUGUGUUAUUGUACUUGCUGUUUAUUUUAGCUGGACCAUGUCCUUCGGCUUGCAGGACUCUUGCAGAUUCUAACAACAGCAUUGCUUCUGUAUAUUCUGGGUCGCCUGAAGGCGAAAACUUAUGCUGUGGAGUCUUUCUUUUCCUCAGUGAGCCUGGGUUGCUAUACAAAGAAUACUUUAAGCCGGGCAGUUUAAACAAAAUGCGUUUACUGCUAACAGGUCUGGAGACUGAGAAGAUCCGGAUCAAGGCACAGACCUGAAGUGUGUGUGUGUGUGUGUGUGUGUGUGUGUGUGUGUGUGUGUGUGUGUGUGUUUUCAUACAUGUAGCUACACAUAUAUGUCCAAGUGUUCAUGCACACUUCACGGAGGGCAGAGGAUCACCUUGGUUUCCAUUCUUCAGAUGACAUCCCCUUUCUCUGAGCAGACUCUCUCACUGCCCUGAGAUUCACUAAAUACAGUAAACUGACUGGCCAACAAGCCCCAGGGUCCUGCCUGCCUCAGCCUCCCCAGUAGUGGGAUUAGAGACGUGCGUCCCCAAUGCCUGACUUUUUUGAGUUCUGGUGACUGAGCUCAGUUCCUUGUGCUUGCAAGGGAAUGCUUUACCAACCAGAUCCCCUGUUUAUUAUGAACUAAACACUUUUUGAAGUUUUCAUACACGAGUUCGCUAUUUGCAGUAUUUCUACCCUCUCUCUCCCAUCGGAUAUCCCUGUGUAAGUUUCUGCUCACGAACACUAUAAACCAGUCCCCAAGACCUCCGUUCUCAGGACGUGACCCUUUCUGAAAUAUUCCAUUUGGAGGGACCAUUACAGAGGAGAUUUAGACUUAAGCAUGUGUGUUUUGAAAGGAUGCUUUUAGUCUACGGCAUUUAUUUACCCAAAGAACCCUCUUCUUAAUCUAUCCGUGAGAACAUACAGUUCAGGUUUUAAAACACACACACACACACACACACACACACACACACACACACACACACACACACACACUGGUUUUUCUGACGGUCUCAACAUAGCACCCUCUACAUAGCCCUGGCUGUCCUGGAACUCAUUAUGUAGACCAGACUGGCCUCAGUAUCAAAGAUCUGCCUGCCUCUGCCUCCUGAACGUCAGGUAAAUAUUGACUGUCUCUCCUGAUAAAAACCAUGAGCUGCUGUCUCUGCAUCCUCAGGGUGACUUCUGGGGCCCAAAGGGAUAUCCCUCUGCCUCACCUCAACACACAUCCAUGAAGGGGUAGAUCAUGGAAAGGUUGAAUGGAAGAAGAUACAACACAUGUAUGAAUGGCUAGGAGGUAGGUCAUUUUCUUUGAAACUUGAAUGAGAAGUCUCUUUAAAAUGAAGCCAGAGCCACAAUAUUGCUCAACAAUUCCGUUCACCAACUCAUCAUAAUUAACUGCUGUAAUAACAUCUCGAUUUAUCCC